UACAAAUAAACAUAAAAUCAUACAUUUAUACAUCACCGAAAGGAAAAUAUUAACACAACUGAUUUGUGAAAAAAAUACGAAAAAAAAUACAGCAAACAGUAAACAAUAACGACAGGAAGUGUGAAAAGGCAGCUGCGGUUGGUAUGUGAAAGGGAGCCCUUCCCCCCAAAAGGCAGCGCAAUGUAUACCCAAUGUUCUAAGUUGAAAAUAAACGAAAUGAAAGAAAAAACGAAAUUUAUUGCUUUUGCCAAUGGCGAGGACAAAACCUUCAUAACAAGUCACAUUGCCUUUUGGGCGGGAGUAAAUUGGACAUUGGACAUUUGCUAGCAAAUGCUGCGUAUGGUUGGGUGUUUGUCUGUUGUCAUAUAUAUGAGUGUGUACAAGCGGACGCGUUUUAUUUAAGUAAACAUGUGUUGCCGCCUGAAUUGGCAAAAUCAAAACACGAUCUCUAUAAAGAGGCACAAACAAAAUCAUUUCACUUUAUGUUAACUGAAUGUGUUCAGACAAGCGUUGAAGAAGCUGGAGUGUGGCAUCAAAUUAGAAGCGUUCGUUGCCAUGGCGUAUACGCAACAGCUGAUUAUUAUCCUCUGUCGUUGUGGAAAGAUUAUGGAAAAAUGAUUGGAGUAGAGGAUGAACAGAAAAUGAAAAAAAAAAUUAUGGAGAAAAAUAAUAAGUGGUGGGAUGUAUAGUAGGAGAAAUAUUGCUAGUAAGGAAGCGUAACAAUUGUUUCGGGCAGCAUAAAUGUACACAUGUACUAUAUACGCUGGAGGAAAUUUCGGAGAAAUAACAUGCUUGCAUAUAUAUAAGUGUGUAAGUGUAUAUUUAAUAUAUGUAUGAUUGUGAUCAGCCCAAUACGAAACAAUAGAGCAUUAUGUAGCUACAGAGGGUUAUCGUGUUCAUAAUUAAGGAAAUUUUGGUAGCAGCAGGAUACUGUGACUCUGCAUAUUUCUGAUCUUUAUAUUUUGCCUUCAUUUAGUUAAUAUAAGGCGGUCAAGUUGGUUUUUCUCAACACCUCGGAAUAUCAAAAAAAAAAAAAAAAAAAAUUAUUUAAUUAUUAGCCAGAAUAUGCAUAUAACACAUCAAGAACAUAUUUUUAAGUUCCUCAAGCAAUUUUCGAAUCAAGAGAACUAAUGCAUGCAAUAUCUAAGUAUCCCGUUGCCUGAAGUGAUGCCCACUAAAUUCUUCUGGGGUUGAUUCAGUUUACUACGAUUUGUCUGUUAUGUACAACAAAAUUCCGUGGGAAUGGAAUCGAUGCCAAGUAGGAGGGGAAAGUAAAAAAAAGGAACAAAGAAGGCGUAUAUAUUUAAUCCAAUCUUCAAGAGAAUACUUAAGAUUAUUGAGAUAAUGACCCAAAUAUGGUCGUGUGGAGACUUAUGCUUAUAUAUGGAUCCUUGGUUUGGUUGUGAGCAUUACCGAAAUAUUAAAUAUAAUGAAGCUAUAUGGCAUACAAAGAGCUAAGUCAUGUCCGACAGAUGAGCACAAUAUGCUUGUAUCAACGGCUUAUGAGCAUAUGAGCUUCAGCAGACCUUCCUAUCAGAGGAUUGCAGUGCUGCUAUUGGAGGCAAAAACAAUUCAGAUUACGUGGUCCUAAGGUGAAGUUAUUAGUUGCUUUUAAGUGAGGAUUCCCUAUAAUACAAGAAGGGAUGAUGUGUAUAAUCUAAUAUGGAUAAUCUAAAUUCUCUACCAUGAAAACAUAUUCUCUUAUGGAAAAGCCAUGUUGGGAACACCUCUUGAGGAAUCUGAAGAAGAGAUAAUACUCUGUUCAGUAGGAAUCAACAUGUGAAAAUUUUACUUCAAUUAUUAUAGAACAGAAAGAAAGCCAUGUCUCAUUGUAGUAUAACGAAUCAGAUUAUGAUGCGAAUGUACCAAGACUCCUAUUAAAUAGGUCACUGGCGCUUCUGAGAACUUAUAACACAUAUAGGUCUUUGCUAUAACACCCUAUAUUCAAGCCGCCACUAGGUUUUAAAAAAAGGUUUUCCCUUUGAACUGUGCGUGACUAGUGCUCUUACAAUUUGGUAAUAAAAUGCUUGAAAGCUAUCAAGUAACAAAACAAGAUUAGCUGUUUGCCAAAAGCAUUUCGAAUAUAAAUAUUUUCAUAGGGAACACUCAAUGGUUCGUAAAUGCUUUGUGGAGCACUUUUACCCAUCCACCUAUCUGAUCCUACGCCAGGCAGUAGAACAAAUGUCCUACCGACAUUUAUAUGAUAUUUCCGAUUACUCAACUCAUACGCACAUUUGCAUGCAAAUAUAUUUAUGUUAGCAUACAACAACAAAUUUGUAUGAGAAUAUUACGACCGAGCGCACAAGUACCGCGUAAAAAUCACUUUUGAACAUGAGAGUGCACAAACAGUAUAAAAUUAGACCACCGAACUUCAUACUCAGGCAAGUCAGCUUGUCAGUGGUAGAGAAAAAGUCAGUUAACCAAGCCAACUAAACACUAAAACGCUAAAAUUGCAUGUUUCAUUCACUUUUUGCUUGGCAUGAAAGAGUCAAAAAUGCGGGUAUCUCUUUGGCCAGCGGCAAGAUAUUAUAUUAUUGGGCGUAUAAGCCUCUUCAAGUUCACCAUUGCGUGUUUUGUGGAGAAGAUUUCAGACAACUCAUGUGUGCACACAUUUAAAACUUGAAGCAUGAUUAUAGUUAUGUAUGCGUAGAUGUGUAUUAGGGUUUGCGGCGGAAGGUUGAGUAUACUGAACAUUUUACUUGCAAAAUUUUAGGUUACGUAUACGCACUGUUGUCACAAGCCAUGCGAAGGCUUUGUUUUGUUGGUUUAAAAUUAAUUCAGCAUUUUGAAUUACACAUUUUCGAAAGUAGUUUGUUUAUUUUAAAAUUGGUUCACAC